UAAAAUCCCCAUAAACCCUUCGCGGACCUUUGUGGGUGUUUGCUUUUUCGGUGAAGUUGUCUUCCGUAGCUUCUUCUUCACCGGGUUAACAUCUACAGAGGUCCAAAAAGGGGUAACUAUUGGCACUAG
rnacentral:pre_miRNA from 15 species